GCAGCGGGGCGUCUGUCAGCGAGGAACCCCGCAAGCCGGAGGCCACGGAAGUUGAGCCUGAAGCCGCAAGACCCUCCACACCCGCAGGAUGGAGCAAUGAGACCCUGCAGGCAGAUGAAAAGGUCGCGAACCCUGACAGCCACGCUGUGGACGUGCAGUCUCUGAAGAGCGAGGAGAGCAACACACAUAACAAAGAAGAGGAAGAAGAAGAAGAAGAAGAAGAAGAAACAGAACAAGUGGCUCAGAAUCCGCUUGUGACUGAGACGGUGCCAGAGGGUGAAGAAGUGUCUCUUGAUUUUGAGAGCUUCCUCCACAACAACGGGACGCUCUACAGCUGCUUCAGUCACCAUGGGAACAGAGUUUAUGUGGAUGAG